GGAGACUCAGGAUGCAGAGCCCAGGGUUGCAGUCACCGUGCCCCGCUGUUUCAACAAACGUGAAUUCAGAAUGCGACUUGAGGCCGUGGCAGGCUCAGACACUUCUUGAGAAGUUACCACGUUGUCUCAAAAGGCAGUGACGGCACACGAGCCGCCCCCUAAGGAUGCAGGGACUGUCCAGAUGGAAGUAAAACGUCACGUCCCUCCCGGAGGCAGACUGUCAAGACCAUGUUACCUUCCGGUCAAGCUCCUUCAAGGAUUCUAAAUCAACAGCAACUCCUACGUGGCGACUUCAGUUCCUUUCCUGCGCUGUCUUUCCCUGCUCAAGCACUUGGUUCUAAUCAGACCACUUCCUUCCUGCCGCUGUGCUGCUUCUUAUCGAAGAUCUUCAAGCCUUUUCACCACCCCAUAUGCUAAACAACUUCCACCUUUAGAAGCGCAUUCUCUGGGAGUCCCAAGGAAGAGCCAAGCUCACUCGAGGCCUUCAGCGAUGGAAACGGCCUUCCCACAUCCCAGAUCAGACUGCGAAGAGCAAAAACGCAUCUUCAGCGGCCUUCCCUGUCCUUUCUCUUCGGAAGAGCACACUCCUCUUUUUCUCAGGGGCCAUUCUCAUGCCUGCAGGGAUCUUCCAAACACAGAGAAAGGCAAUGUGAGCAGUCAUAGUAGGUGCAGGCCUCCAGGAAGAAAAGAACUAGCAUAGCAGACCUAACCAUUUCACUUUAGAAAGGGCUGCCGACUGGGGCCAGCACUGUGGCGCAAUGGGUUAGACGGCCAGCACCCCAUAUGGUCGCUGGUUCGAGUCCUGGCUGCUCCACUUCCGAGAGAAGCCGGAACUGGGAUUCAAGCCCAUCCGGCUUCCAGCUGGCCCCAGAGCCACAGUCCCCAUCCUCCAGUCACCUCUGUAAGAAGAGAAGAAACAGCAAGGGACAGCAUCACCUUGUUCAACCUGGGCUGGGAACACGCAUGUGGGGGGUAACUAAAAUUCUUCACUGAUUUAUGCAGGGCUGAAUUGUGGGUGACAAAUGCAUGGUUCUAAAAAAAGAUUCUUAUAUGAAAGGCAGAGUUACAAAGCAGGAAAGGGAGAGAGGGGAGAGGGAGAGAGAAUGUUCCAUCAGCUGGUUCACUCCUCAAAUGUCACAAUGGCUGGUGCUGGUCCAGCCAAAGGCAGCUCCAUCCUUGUCUCCUAAGUGGGUGGUAGGUGCCCACAACUUGGGCCAUCUUCCUCUGCUUUCCCAGGUGCAUUAGCAGGGAGCUUGGUCAGAAGUGGAGCAGCCAGGACUCGAACCAGUGCCAGCGUUGCAAGCGGAGGCUUAACAUGCCUUACCACAACGCUGGCUCCACACAUUUCAGCGAGUGGGUGACUGUAUCCUGAAUCUUGUGAGUCCUCCCCCACCCCUGCAAAUCAGUAAACCUGGGGGUGGGCCUGGGAACCCCUAACCGAGCCUCCGGGGAGAGCCCUGGGUCUCUGCUUCUGCAAAGGCACCGAGGAGGAAGUACGGGGCCCGAGUGGCAGGAUGUGGAGCUUCCAGUGUGACUGGCUCUUGGCUUCUGGGUCACUCUGGCUGUUCCUUGAGAUUUUCUUUGGCCUCUCUUGCUGGCUUACUUUUCUGAAGCAUAUUCUCCGACUCAGCUGCUACAGUUGGACGAGCCCGUGGCAGCCUCCCUCUUCAAGAGGUCAAAUAGGAACUCUGGUGAAGCCCAGGGGAAGGGAAGCCUGAUGAGUCACCUGGGCCAGCUGUCCAGGCUUGAGGGUCAACACUCCCGCCCCUGCCAAGUCUGUUACACAGCUUUUCCUUUGGAAAACCCUUGCCCUUUCUUGUCCUCAGACUGGCUGCAAGGCUACGGUCAAGACCAAAACACAAGGGUCUAGAUGAAAGCCAUCAGGGAGUCACCAGAGCCCAGAAGGGGCCAAGGCAGUCCUUGGCACUCACUGUCACCCAGCUCAUCACGGGGCGGACGCUGGCAGCAAAGCCGUACGGCUAACACUGCACACGUGCUGCAGGAUCUGCCUUGCGUGGCUAGCGGAUUCAGACUCUGGCUCCCCUGUUGUGGUGUACUAAAGAUAUUUGAAGUUGGUCUUUACUCCCGAUUCCUGGCAGGAGUUUUGAAAGCUCCUGGAGUUUCCCAAGUGACAGGUGCGUCUUUUGUCAUUCACAGUGAGUCCUUUUGGAUUUAUGUGAAACAGGUAAGCCAUGAUGGGCCCUCAGAUAGUAUUAAGGAAAAGGAUUUCCACACAAGUGAUUGGAGGGGGGCCUGGCUCCAGUCUCAGCUCCCCUGCUGCUGAGCCAGCUGCCUACUGAUGUGCACCUGGGAGGUAGGUGAUGUCUCCAGCGCUUCAGUGCCCGCCACCCAUGUGGGAGACCUGGAUGGAGUUCCAGGCUCCUGACUUCAGCCUGGCCCGGUCCUGGCUAUUGUGGGCAUUUUGUGAAUGAACCAGGAAUGGAAGAUUUCUGUCUCUACCUUUCAGAUAAAAUGAAAUUAAAAAAUUUUUUAAGAUUCAUUUAUUUGAAAGGCAGAGUUAGAGAGAAGAGGAGAUCUUCCAUUCACUGGUUCACUUCCCAAAUGGUUGCAAUGGCUGGGGCUGUGCCAGGCCCAAGCCAGGAGCCCAGAGUUUCUUCUGGGUCUCCCACAUGGGUGCAGGGGCCCAAGCGCUUGGGCCGUCUUCUGCUGCUUUCCCAUGUGCAUUAACAGGGAGCUGGAUCAGAAGUGGAGCAGCAAUGGACUCAAACUGGCACCCAUAUGAUAUGCUGGUACACCACAAUGCCUCCCCUGCACCCCCCUCCCCAAUUUUAAGAUUAAAGUUAACAAACAUCUUUAAAAAAAAAUACACACACACACACACUGGAGGAUGGGAAGUUUUAGGCUAGCCUAACCCUCCAGGGAGGAAGGGAGGGAGGCUGGAGACCAAGGUCCAGCAAGCAGUCAAUGACUUGACCUAUCUUCAUACCCAUGUAAUGAAGUCUCAGUGGAAAACUCCAAACUUCAGAGUGCUCACACAGAGAUGUGCCUGGGGGGUUGGGGGAACAGGGAGGUAGCAGACAUGGAGAGGACUUGGAAGCUCUGCACCAGCACCCCAGCCCCCAAACCCUGGACCUCUUCCAUCUAACUGCUCUCAAGUUAUUCCUCUAUGCACAUACCCCUUGCAUCUGGCUAUUCCCAAGUUGCACCCUCUCUAAUAAAACUGUCAUUGUAAGCAUAAGGCUUUCCUGAGUUCUGUGAGUCACUCUAGUGAAUUAUCAAGUCAAAUUCUGAAGGGGGGGUGGGGAAUGGUGGUCAUGGGAACUCUUGAAUGCACAGCCAUCUGACAGAAGUGCCUGGUGACACCAGGACUUAAGGCUAGUAUCUAAAGCAGGGAGAGCCUUGUAGGACUGAGCCCUUAAACUUGCAGAAUCUGCCGCUGACCCUGGGUAGUGUCUGAAUUGAAGUGCUGGAUGGCCACUUGGUAUCAGAUGAUUAUUGGAAUGACGCACUCACUGUGCCACUCUUACUCAUCCUCGCUCUCUUUCAUCAGCUCCCACCACCCUGAACUAGCCUCUUCCUAUGGAUGAGAAACGAGUGAGCUGAUAAAGAACGGCUCUUACAGCUUCCAAGUAUUUAACAUUGUACAUGCCUGGAAAAGGAGCACCUUCCUCUACAAUCUCUCCUUGUGUUGUCUUAUCUGUAGGGAAAUUCGCCCCUGAACACAUCAGAUGAGAACCUGGCGGUUAUCGCUGAGACCACAGACACCCAAGAAAACAACCUGUGUGGGGAAAAAAAAAAAAAAAAAAACGUACUUUACUGAAGCCCCCAAACCCAGGCGGCUUCAGUGGAACGGUUUCUGUGGGUACUGUGAGGUCGCAAAAACAGGCAAAGGCGGACGUGGCGUGGAGCUCCGGACAGUGAACACUCGCGACUGCCCCUUCCUUCCCGAGAGCAUGGGGACCGAGCAGCGAAGGCCCUUUCCAACGGAACAAGUCCCUAGUGGCACUGAAACCCGAAGGAGUGCUCUCGGGGAAUGAGUCAUUUUGGACGCUCGCUCCCUUAGAGGAGAGAGCUGGGACCGUAUUGACAAAUAAGCCAAAACGCUGGAGAAGAAAAUGCAACUUGAAAUAUGCAAGGCUACACACAGGAGCUCCUCCUUCCAGACAGGGCCUGGAGAGGCGCCGCGGCACUACAGAGAAGUGGCUGUUCGGCAGGAGUUGGCAUCCGAGUGGAGGGUUGUCUACACAGCCGCUGAGUCGGUCCGUCUGCAGCCUGCCUCUGCUCCCAGCUGCAGUCCCCCAGCGUAGCUCUCCGGGGGAUGGGAGGUUUGCCUCGCGGAGUGGCCGUGGUGCUAGCGUGCAGGCCAGGGAGCAAGUCAAGGAAGAGCCCGUAGGACAGACUCAGACGUGAAAGGAAAUGAAGCAGAUGAAUGGGGUGAAAGUUACCCUUAUCACAUAUGGGGAGGGGCCUGAAUCUGCGCCCUCUUCUCCUCUACCACACGUGGAGGGGCUGCCCACCUACUGGUAUAUCCUUGCCCACUCACAGAGCUCCCACUUGAGAAAGGCGGCUUGGGAGUCUUCAAAAAACUUCAUGAGAAAUGCAUAUUAUGGAAAAAAAAAAACAACCAUGCAUCCAUUUCAAAAAUUUUACACCAAAAUAAAGUGAUCUUUUAAUUCCA